rnacentral:rRNA from 1 species
AGUGAGCGCUGGCGGUAGGCCUAACACAUGCAAGUCGAACGGCAGCACAGUAAGAGCUUGCUCUUACGGGUGGCGAGUGGCGGACGGGUGAGGAAUACAUCGGAAUCUACUUUUUCGUGGGGGAUAACGUAGGGAAACUUACGCUAAUACCGCAUACGACCUACGGGUGAAAGCAGGGGAUCUUCGGACCUUGCGCGAUUGAAUGAGCCGAUGUCGGAUUAGCUAGUUGGCGGGGUAAAGGCCCACCAAGGCGACGAUCCGUAGUUGGUCUGAGAGGAUGAUCAGCCACACUGGAACUGAGACACGGUCCAGACUCCUACGGGAGGCAGCAGUGGGGAAUAUUGGACAAUGGGCGCAAGCCUGAUCCAGCCAUACCGCGUGGGUGAAGAAGGCCUUCGGGUUGUAAAGCCCUUUUGUUGGGAAAGAAAAGCAGCAGGUUAAUACCCCGCUGUUCUGACGGUACCCAAAGAAUAAGCACCGGCUAACUUCGUG